rnacentral:sRNA from 1 species
AAGAGGAAGCACCCAUGCAUCACAGAUGCAUAUUAAAAUGGUGCUGACGAAGGUAUUGUUU